CAGGGAUGAGCACACACAGAUAUGCCGGGCUACCCCUUCAAGAGGACUAGGCUGCCGGAACAGUUCCCACUGGUCCCCUCCACAAAAUGCCAAGAAGGCCAGAGCCAAGAAUGUGCAGAGGAUCAGAAGGAUGGCGGAGGUUUCCAUCAGGACCCAGAAAUGUAUUGUCAACAGAAGAAGAAACCAACCUCGUUCUUUAGGAGGCUGUGGUUGUUUUUCCAGAGACUGUUUACCUGCUCCUUAUGUACCCGCCACAGGCGUGAAUACCACAGGUCAGACUUUGCUUGAAAGAUGAAUAUGCAAGAGCCACCAGGUCAGGAACGUGGUCCAAUAAGGACUUAGGCACCACAGAAGGAAAUCUAAAGGUUCUAGAAGCCUCAUCUUUCAUACGUGCCAAAAAAUCCUUUCCUCCUGGGCCUCAGUGGCCCUGGUUCUCCUGUGCUGACCCCUAUGGGGAAUGUCUCCUGAGCUGUUUCGUAUCCUCGACGUCACUCUUCAGUUCAGCCUGGCACAUGUGCUGUUCCUCUAUUCAAAAGAUGAUGGGAAUUCGAAAUGGAUUUUAACAAAGAGGCCUUGCCUAGGGCAUCUGUGUGUGGGGCUCCCAUGCCUAGGGCCUUGGUGUACAUCCAUCCGUGUGCUCCCCUGCCUGGGAGCUUGUGGGUGGGAGGAACAAAUAUCUAGACACCUAAUCUUCACUAAGCAUCCUGCCAUUUAUAAAUAUGUGUGAGUAUUUGACAUUUUCCGUGCUCUCUUGGUGGCAGGAUGGUGAAAAUUUGUAGACAUGACAUAGUCCUUGAACUCAAAGAACAUCUGGCCUCAGAAGAGAGGAUGAGAGGAAUUUUCACUCACUGGGGGCAGUGUGGGAGAGACGCAGACAAACACAGAGCUGACUGUGACUUAUUCUCACAGUGACGCAGCAAGGAACAAGGAGAGUGGAGCCUGGUAGAGGAGGUGCCAUCCGAGUGGAGCAUGAAAGGACAGUGAGAGUGUUUGCAGCGUAAUAAGGCACUACAGUGUUCAGAAGAGUUUUGGGGACAGUGCUACACCUGCUGAGAUGAUCAGUCAUUUUAAUGCUGUUAUUGCUGAUGGGACAGAACUCAGGCAGGUGCAGGGUCUCCAGAUAAGAAAUCAACCAGUCAUGGGGCUGGUACCUCUUCGUUCAUAAAAAUAUAAGGAUCCAUUCCCAUCAGAGAUAGUUGUGUCUCUAACUUCUGUGUUUACAGAUAAUAGUUUAAAUAGUGAUGUCCACGAUGAUCAGUUGGCAUCAUAAGUUUACAUCAGCAGUCCCCAACCUUUCUGGCACCUGGGACUUUUCCUCAGAUUGGGAAGUGUGGAGGAUGAAACGGGAAGUGGAGACAAGUGGUGCUGUUGUGCAGUUUCUCACCAGGCCAUGAACCGGUAUCAGUGCACAGCUGGGUGUCGGGAGUGCAGGGUUACAUUCUGAUAGGUUAUAGCCAUUGUCUAUAAUGUCCAGGUCAGUCAAGCUUUUCUUAGCCUUGGAAGCACUGAAUGGGUUUGUGUGGAUUUUUUAUUUGCAUGGGAAUUUUUUUAUUGUUGUUUAAU